CCCCCCCCCGAUCGCAUUUCCUGCACACUGUGCGCAGGAAGUGACUUCGCCAGCGAUCUGAUGACCUGGAAGUGCCGAUGAAGCUCAGACACGGAUAUUUUGGAUUGUUUUGGAUCCAAGAACAUCUCUUUUCGUUGAAUUCCUCUCACCAAAACGAUGGAAAAUUUCACGGCAAACUUUUCCAGUGAACCCCCCCUUUGCCGGUCUGCAACGGAAACAUCACCGCUUUUCCAAAAGAAACACACACACGCAAAGGCAAUCAACAACCUGCAAUGCGAAUGAUAGCGACCUUUUAUCCCGUAAAAGGUAGGACAGCUGGUCUAACAACAUAAAAUGGAUGUCGAAGAGAGGUGCUGAAGAGAUCUUUUUUUUAUCUGAUCCUUACAAAACACUGUUGAAUGAUUUGGUGGCUGAAAACCUACUGGUUAUUUUCCACUGAAAUUUACUGUUCGGGAGGAGAACUUUACCUUCAAUAAUCAUGCUUAAUGCACUCUAUAUGGUAUUAUUUGAAGUAUCACUAUUAUUAUCGCACAGCAAACAGGGGUACAUACCAUCAGCAGUCAUAAACAAUUAUACAUCGACUCACAACACAAACCGUUUCGGAAUUUUUCACAUCCCUCAAAUGGGCGUCUUUAUCUCAAGUUGGGUCUAAUCUAGACUACGAUUGAAAAAAGCAUAGCUGGAGAAACAAUUUGGUCGUCUUUCCUCUUUUAUGCCUCGGGGCUCCGGUACAGCAGGUCAGGAGUAAAAUCCAGACGGUCAAGAAUGACUUGAAUUCACUGAGAUCUUGUCAUCCUGUGUGCAAACCAGCUCUUCUGCCAAUGUCAGCAGCCAGCUCGCGAGAGGAGUAAACAGGGGUACGCAAGCAAAAUCAAGCACUCCGAGCGACCAUAAUGCAAUAAUGUAUGCUCAUACACGAGCAGGAAUAACAACAGAAGUGCGUCCCCGACGUGAAGAAAAAUAAGCUAAAUGUACGGGGAAAGAGUAGAAUGAGAUUAGAGUUAAAAA